UACGAAGGGGGCUAGCGUUGUUCGGAAUUACUGGGCGUAAAGCGCACGUAGGCGGAUAUUUAAGUCAGGGGUGAAAUCCCGGGGCUCAACCCCGGAACUGCCUUUGAUACUGGGUAUCUCGAGUCCGAGAGAGGUGAGUGGAAUUCCGAGUGUAGAGGUGAAAUUCGUAGAUAUUCGCAAGAACACCAGUGGCGAAGGCGGCUCACUGGCCCGGUACUGACGCUGAGGCACGAAAGCGUGGGGAGCAAACAGG
rnacentral:rRNA from 1 species